rnacentral:rRNA from 1 species
UACGUAGGCAGCGAGCGUUGUUCGGAAUUACUGGGCGUAAAGAGUGUGUAGGCGGUGCUCUAAGUUCGGUGUGAAAUCUCCCGCUUAACUGGGAGGGUGCGCCGGAAACUGGAGUGCUCGAGCGUGGGAGAGGGAAAGACGGAAUUCCUGGUGUAGCGGUGAAAUGCGUAGAUAUCAGGAGGAACACCUGCGGUGUAGACGGCUUUCUGGACCAUUGCUGACGCUGAGACACGAAAGCGUGGGUAGCAAACAGG